GUACUUUCAAAACAUUUUAAAAAACAACUGAAUCAUAAACGAGAGAGGAAGACAGAAGCAAAGCAAAAGAAGAUACAAGACUGUAUCAGGUGCAGGUGUCCAAUAUUUGCAGUUAGGGUAUUUAAGAAAAGGUAAAAACACCAGAAGGGGGAGAAGGAGAGAAAAAGGAAAAGAAGAAGGUAUGUAAAGAAGGAUCAUGGACACUGAGUUUGGAGAUAAAGGGGCAGGAGGAUGUGUCCCAUGUCAGAGCAGGUAUACACUCUUCAUCGUGUGGGGAUGAUCUCAUGCUGUAGCAGUUCAUGAAAGACUGAUUUCAGUGUGGAGAGCCCAUGCUGGAGCAAGGGAAUGUUGUGACAAGGGAGCAGUGCUCUGUUAGAGUGCAACCCCAGUUCCACAUCCCCAUGCACUGCCUUCUGGGGAAAAGAGGUAGAGGAGUGAAGAUGAGUCAGGUGAAGGGGUUACGGAAAGGUGUUUUAAUUUUUGUCUCUGUAUCUCCCCAUCCUACCCUAAUUUCAAUUGGCAAUGGAUUAAAUUGAUUUACUGCAGGUUGGAAAUGUUUGGAUCGAGACAGUAGCAGGUAAGAGAUCUCUCUGCCUCCACCUUGAUCCCCGAGUUUCCCACUGUGUUCCCCCCUGCAGCAGUGAAGCAGUGAGAGAACACCUGCGUGGGAGCGUGGCUGCCCUCCGGGCUAGCCCAUCACGGUGACUCACUGGAGGUCACACAACAAUUCACACCAGCAAAGCCAAGAACAAAAACUGCUCUCUGGUUUCCCAGCCCGGUUUAUGCCACUGUCAGCCAGGUCUCCAACCUCCCUGAUAGCUGCAGGAACAGAUCUGGUUGUGCAGAGUUCCACAGGAAACAGCAGCAAAGUGCACAGGGUGGCCAACAAGAGGAGCAUUGAGGCUGUGACUAAUCUCUGACUUCAAAGGAAGCAAUGCAUUGGGACAUUACCUGCUGGGGCUUCAGAGACCUUGCUGUUAUUUCAGCAUUAGCCACACUAACUGUGCCCAUUCUGAUUCAAAAUACCCUAUCACCAUCUGUGUAUAUCAAUACACACAGGCCUUCCAAAGGAGCUUGUAAACAUCACAAUGGCAUGGACAGAUCUUCCAGUCUAAGCUGUUAUUAAUAAAUUCUACUGCUAAUUCAUUUUGAUGGCUUCCUGUUCUUAGAAGAUAAUGAUCAGUAGAGUGGAACUUCAGUGAGCAGCAUGUUGUAGUCAGAACAGCAGUAAGUGAUGGUGUCAUCUGUAUUUUAGAGACCAUUUGACUUUGAUAUUCCUUUCAGAGCCAUAUCAAACU